CUUCUAGCAUUUGUCUUUGAGAAAUUCAUUCCAAUAUUUUUCUUCCCAUUCCUUCUAAAAUCUACGGAAAUUCAAAAUUUUGUUAAGUCACCCUUUUUGUUUUUGACAGGAUCAAGAUAAGCUGAUAAGUAACCUUAAAACCAUUCAAGAUUACCUUUGUUCCUUUGAGGCACAGGGGUUGACAAUAGUGAACAUUUCUGCAACGACAUUUCCUCAAACAUUGGAUUGGCUCCACGGUUAUCUUCUUCAGUGCAUCGAGCAUGGUGUUUCUGCUGCUACUCCCAAUAUUGGCAAUCCCUCAAAAGUGGAAUUGGGUAGUAAAAGUGAAUAAUUCUCGUCUCAGCCAUGACGUAAAUUUGAAAAAUAGUGUUGUAGAUUGAGAUUUGACAGGUAAAACUAAA